UCCGUAGGCGGGCAAUUAAGUCAGAGGUGAAAUCCCACAGCUCAACUGUGGAACUGCCUUUGAUACUGGUUGUCUUGAGUUACAGUGAAGUAGAUAGAAUAUGUAGUGCAGCGGUGAAAUGCAUAGAUAUUACAUAGAAUACCGAUUGCGAAGGCAGUCUACUAACUGUAUACUGACGCUAAUGGACGAAAGCGUGGGGAGCGAACAGGAUUAGAUACCCUGGUAGUCC
rnacentral:rRNA from 1 species